rnacentral:rRNA from 1 species
AGAGUUUGAUCCUGGCUCAGAACGAACGCUGGCGGCAUGCCUAACACAUGCAAGUCGAACGAGGGCUUCGGCCCUAGUGGCGCACGGGUGAGUAACGCGUGGGAACCUGCCCUGUGGUACGGAAUAACUCCGGGAAACUGGAGCUAAUACCGUAUGUGUCUUGAGGGACAAAGAUUUAUCGCCAUGGGAUGGGCCCGCGUAGGAUUAGCUUGUUGGUGGGGUAACGGCCUACCAAGGCAACGAUCCUUAGCUGGUCUGAGAGGAUGAUCAGCCACACUGGGACUGAGACACGGCCCAGACUCCUACGGGAGGCAGCAGUGGGGAAUAUUGGACAAUGGGCGCAAGCCUGAUCCAGCAAUGCCGCGUGAGUGAUGAAGGCCUUCGGGUUGUAAAGCCCUUUCGCACGCGACGAUGAUGACGGUAGCGUGAGAAGAAGCCCCGGCUAACUUCGUG